rnacentral:rRNA from 1 species
UACGUAGGGGGGCAAGCGUUGUCCGGAAUCAUUGGGCGUAAAGAGCGUGUAGGCGGCCCGGUAAGUCCGCUGUGAAAGUCCAGGGCUCAACCCUGGGAUGCCGGUGGAUACUGUCGGGCUCGAGUCCGGAAGAGGAGUGUGGAAUUCCUGGUGUAGCGGUGAAAUGCGCAGAUAUCAGGAAGAACACCCGUGGCUAAGGCGGCUCUCUAGUACGGUACUGACGCUGAGACGCGAAAGCGUGGGGAGCGAACAGG